CAGAGAUCUCCGGCGUCGCCGUGGCCGUAGUCUCCGCUUUCCCAGCAGGGCGCUUCGGCGGUGUCCGGCGGCGGCUCCAUGAGCAGCCCCUCGGCGAGGUCCGCGUAGUGCAUCCCCAGGUCCAUUUCGCUCGGCAUGUCGAGCUCGAGCUCCAACUCCAACAUGCCGCUCCCCAUCGCCAUGGGUGGUACUGGCAGUGGCACCUCAAACAGAACUCCAAGGAACGAUGGCCAUGCGCCGGCGGCACCAUGAUCCACAGGAACAACGGCCACAGGAACCACGGCCACAGGGAUGACGACGGACACGAUGGAGGGGGCGGCCUCCCGGCUUAGGAAGCCGGCGACGGCGACGACGGCGGCGCAGCCGAGCGCGGGCGGCGUGGCGGCGGCCGAGUCCGGGAAAUUGAGGAGGCAUGCCGCGGCGGACGGCAGGAGCGCGAGCAUGGCGGCGUCGUGGGCGCGGCCGGCGGACUCGGCGGUGAGGUGCGUGCCGAGCCAGAGGCGCUUGCCGUGCGCGCCGGGGACGCGCACCUCGCACACCCACCGGCCCGCGGCGGCGGCGCCGCGGCUGCGCACGCCGCGGUACACCGGGUGGCGCGUCUCCUUGAACUUGGUGCGCCCCGCCGGGCGCUUCGACCACACCGCCAAGCCUUCUUGCCGGUCGUGCGAGGAGGACGACGAGGAAGGGGAGCUGAGGCAUCGAUCGGAGCCGUCCAUGGCCAUAAACUGCUGGGAAGAUGAAGUAUCCAGGAGGGUCGGUGUUCAAUGGAGAUUGAGCUUUGAGCUGGAGAGUUGAGUAACUCUAUGGUGGUGUGGAGUGUGCUCUUUUAUAGAUUCGCGUUAACAAAGCCAGGCCAGGAAAGCCGGUGCGAAGCGACGCGUGAGGUUCUGUUCUGCAGCGUUGAGCAAAGGCAGCAGCUUCCUGAGCCAGAGUCACCUGUAGUAGCUAAAUAUCUGGCCAAAGGGACAUCUCGCUUGUUGGCCUGUUGGCCAUAGGAUGCACCGGAGGAGCCCAGAGAGCGACGUGCAGUGCGAGUGAAGCCAAACUAGCGAGCGUCAGGGAUAUUUUCCGUCUCCGGCCGGUAGCUCUAAACCGGCACCUGCCUGCCUCGAUCCACAUCUCUUAGGAUUAGCUAGUAUUUCUAUUUCUGGAGCAGUACAUCAUCUUUUGCGAGUAGGUCAUCGGCAGCAACAACCAUCGUUUUUCAACGCAGCCGUUCAUGUGUCGCUUUCUUUUCAUCUUUCCCUUUUCUGUAGCUUCCGAGAGUAGAAAGAAACCAGAAGCUUAAUUUCGCAACGAAAUGGCUCAGUGAACCCACUGAGAUCAAGGAGCAGCGCCUGCUUGUAUUUUCUCCCGCAGUCGUCUCUCUCGGACACCAUUCGUGGCAGGGUUAACUAUGAGAGGAAGUAGUGUGCUUUUUAUAGCUAGGCAGUUAACUAUGAGAGGAAGAUUUUUCUAAGAUUCAUAGAUCACAAAAUAGGGUCAGUCAUGAUCUGACGGCUUUUGUCAGAACACCGCCUGUUGGAUCCGUUGUAAUCCUCUUGCUUCGGGAGAGACGGAUGAUGUAACCCUUCGUUGAUGCAAUAUAAUUUCUCUAUCAGCAACAACAACAAAAACUGUGAGGGAAGAAGUUUGCGCCAAAAAAUAUAAUUAAAAAAGUUAAAUGGACCGGUUAUGCCUUUUAGGUCCGAUUUUCCAGCACCAUUUAGAUCGGGUGCGCACCCAUUUAGUUAGGAAAAGAGGCAGAUGGGGAGGGGGUAACUGCACCUGAUAGUACCUUAUAGUAUAUAUACAUAUAUGAAAUAAAACUUUGUAACAACUUGACAAAAAUGUUGAAUUUGGACUAUACCAACACUUGAUUAGAAACACACCAGAUAGUUUCUGAUUUUCAAAGUAUCUCAAGAAAACCCAUGAAAUUUGAUUUAUCACUUAAGAUCAUAGUUUGAGAUGUGAGUUAAUUAAUAUAAUAAUGGCAUUUUAUGCCUGUAUGAAGUAUAAAUGCUGCGAAUAUUAAAAACAUGUUUUGUUGUCACAUUCAAAAUCAUCCACCAUCGAUCACAAAUGUUGCAGAUGAAACCUUGGUCACUAGGCCGCAGGUCAAUGUAAAUAGCGCGCAACAACAUAGACAUUUCCAGGCCUAAAUUGUGAAGCGACAACGGACAAUUUGUGGGCAUCUUGUUUAGUGUUAUCCUCCGUCUCCGGACGUGGCCGCAGCAAAGAUCGCAGCUUGUUUAGCGUCCAUUUAUGAUGUAGAACCUGGUUUAUGCGGCUGAUGUUGCAGCCUGGUGAAUUUUUCUAGGCAAAUUCACAUAAAUCUCACCACGAAGUGUUUCGUAUUGACCGGGGUUAUGUUCCUGGAUGCCUUCCAUUCGCAGCAGCGUUGCACACGUCUAAAUUUUGGUGCAUACCAUAUCCCUCUCCGUGGAACCUCAGAUGUAUUCCUGUUAUUUAUAGGUGCAUUAGCUCCAAGUUUUAUUGGAAGAAAUAGUUACUCCAGGUCAGAAUUGCCCUAUGGACUUAAUGCUUGGUAUAUUGUCACAACUACUGGAGACGAAUCCUAUAACUAUUUGUAGGAUUUGAGACGGGGUGAGUAAAGCGGAGGCUGUACCCAUAGCGGUAUCUACCCGUAUGGUUGUAGCCACACAUUUCGUGUCAGACAUCGUAUCAGUUGCUUUGUUUUAUAUUAGAGAGAGAUAAUUAGCAGGGAUGUUUUAUAUUGGAGAGAGAUAAUUAAAGGAGGAGUACUACUUGUGUCAGCUACUUUUUGGACGUGACACCUGAAAACUUUUCAUUUUCUUUGCUUCUCUCUCCCUUGCGUCAGGCACUCACAUUUUCUUUCUCACUUCUUUUCUUCCCGCUCGUACUUUUCUCACACCUUUUUAUAAUAUAUUUUAUUCUUUUGUACAUGCAAUUUUAGAGGGCCACUUGUUUCUUUUGUACUGAUUUUACUCGUUUGUACAUAUUGCAGUACGUCAGGUACAUGUACACCAAAUGAUGGUACAUAAACAUAUUUGUUAUCUAAAUUUAGAUAGUACGGGAUAUGUUAAAUGCACACAAGGCACAUCAAAUUGAGUACACCAUGAUCCAUGAUAAUGAAAGUUAGUAUAUCAUCUCAAUACUUAGUACCUAGUCUGGUUGUACAUCAUAGUACAUAGCAAAUACAUCAGGGUACAUGUCAAGUACAUUACAAUAGAUGGCAAUAUACGAUCAAUUUUAUGUACCUCAUGAAUUUAAGUACUCUGUCAAUACUUAUCUACACUACGAGUACAAUUAAAAGUACGAAGUACCUACUCAACCUUAGUACCUCAUCAAUUUAAGUACCUUGGCAAUACUCAUCUACACUACGAGUACAAUCACAAGUACUAAGUACCUUCUCAACCCUAGUAUACCUUCUCAACUUAGUACCUCGUCUGUAAAUACUGUGUACAUCAACUCAUAAUUGUACGUCAUGUACCAGGAAAAAAAUCACAGCACAAACAUUCAACCAAACUUAGUUCCUCAUCAUGUACAUGUACCAUGGUACACAAUACAAGCAUCGCCAGAAAUUUAACAAUUCGUUCAGAUACCUUCCUAAAGCAGCAAGAAACAAAUAAGAGUAUGGAGAUCAAACAAAUUUUAGAAGCUACCUAAAACACUAAGGUACCCCUUGCAUUUUUUUUUUCUUGCCCAUGCUCUCAAUUUAGAGACGAAACCACAAAAUCCAAAAACAAAACAAGAAGAUCUAGCCUCACUCGUGGUACCACGGAUAGAGGAUGAGUACUGGAGACAGAGAUGGAGCUUGGUCGCAAUAAUGGAAGUCGGCCGCUAGUGAGACAGUGGAGAUUAGUCUCCUUCAACUGCAGCUCCCCCGCCUUUUUCUCCACUUCUGGCUGCUCCUUGCGGCCAUGCCGGGCUGCUCCCAAGCGCUAGUGGCCGGAGAGAGAGAGGGGGAGGUAGAGAGAUGCCAAGCGCUAGUGAAUGGAGAGAGAGGGGGGAGGGAGGGAGGGAGAGAGCUAGAGCCAAGUAUGGGAGGGGAGGGAGGGAGAGAGGGUAAGAGAGAUAAAGCCUGGGCAGCACGUGGACGUUGUGGCAGAGAUAUUAGCAGAUGGGUGUCAGAGUGAUCAAGAAAAGGAAAACACACGCGUUGACUAGAGACGAUACGGGUAGAUGCCGUUAGCGGCACCGAGAGGUUUGGCGGCAAGGAGGCCGCAACCUGACAAGGCAGAUGCUUGUCGGCAUGCACAUGCACUCUGUAUCAGCACUGCACAUGCUCUUUUGCGAUCGGUGUGGUUGAGAUAUUUUGCCAAAAUACUAAACAUAGAAAUACUCUUUAUUUACAUUGUUUUCACUGUUCUAUGUCACAUAUUAUCCUAGAGUCGGUUGCUGUUUUUUUAAACAGUUUUGCUAUUCAAAAGUCGUAUGUUUUUCAGUUAGAGAAUAGGCGACAUGUUUGGCCAUCGGAUUUUAAUCCAACGAUAUCACGUGGGAGAUGGAAGAGUGAGGAUGACCAUUAGAUCUUAAUCCAAUGGCUUGACACAUCAACUGAGAUUUCAGACAUUUUGCUUAAAAAUCAGGUGACUGAAAAAUAGCUACACCCUUUUAAAAAAAGCAGCUCUUAAUAAUUCAUCAAAAUGUCGAAAGUAAACAGCCGAGUCAAACAUCAGUGCCUAUUACCCCAGCUCUUAACAUUUUCUCCGUUUGAAAUAAUUUCAUGGUCUUUUUUAUAAACUCGACAAGACAUAAUUUAUGCUCGGUCUCAGAUGACUUGGCAUUAUGAAACUAUUGACAUGCUCAAUGUGCAUGCUCUGACAACUGAUGGCGUGCGCUUGCCUGACCAACAUCAAGGACCAAAGCAAGGGAUCAUGGUAUUUUAUUUAGGACAGUAAAACUGAGCACAAUCUCAGCUCUCUCAGGCCACCUGAAUUUUCGACAGGAGGCAGGGUAUUGGAACAGACUUGCACACGGCCAGUGGUAGUCGUAGGUCCGAGUAUUUUGAGAGUGAAUUCCAGUUUUGACCCACGAGUUUGACUUUUUUGACAGCUUUGACUUCAUUUAGUGGGAUUUUUAUUUUUUGAUCCCAUUUAGCAAAACUUGUGCCACUAAUGACACCAUUUAAGAUUUUUGCCCAAAUCUCCUCCCACCCCAUUUUUUUCUUUUUCUCUCUCUCCCCAUUUUUUAUGCUUCUUGGCGUCUGUUAUACAUAGGCGGUUUAGGUUAUGUUUGGCAGCAAAGUACUCUAAAAACUAAGGUCUCGGCAAACCAUACUAUUUUAGCCUAUACAUAUAGGAUACUACAGUUGUAAGAAACUAGGGUAUUUUAAAGUAUCGAAAAAACAUUGACCUGUUUGGUGCUCUAUUUACCAUGCUAAAAAAAAUUUAGCUAGCCAAGCUGGAAGUUCAAGGAGCUGUUUGGAUCAUGCCCCAGCCAACCCUGCCAAAAUUGGCACGCUGCCACGAUCUCGCCAACACGCGGACGCAAACAGAAUGCGGUUACCAAAUGCGUGGUUCCAAUUUUCUGACGUUGAACCAAACUGAAGCCACGGUAGCGGUCAACGACCAAAUAAUUGGCAGGGCAAGUUGCGGUUGCAAUCCAAACAACCCCCAAAUCCUCUGGCCGCCAUACGGUGGCAUGCUGCAGCAGCUGCAGCUCACGGAGACAUGGCGCCAUGCUGCUCGUUGUUGAUCUUGCUUGUCCUAGCCGCGUCGAGUAGCCGGGCAAUCUCGCUCUGCAGCUCCCUGGCAGUUGCGGAGCGGCAAUGGCAAGCUGCAGCGGCAGCGUGAAAACCUCCCGCAGCCGGCAUAACAAGCUCCCGCGGCCGGCGCCGGAGCUCGGGCCAGACCGCGAGCUAGCCUGCGCAUCUUCCACAUAGCCGCCGUCGUUUGGGCAAAAAUCUUAAAUGGGUCAUUGGUGGCACAAUUUUGCUAAAUGGGGUUAAAAAACGGAAAUCUCACUAAAUGAGGUCAAAAUUAUCAAAAAAUUGAAAGUUGGGGUUCAAAGAAAUCACUCGAGUGAUUUGAGUCUUUUUCUCUGUGCUUGUUUACCAUCAUGUGCUUUCUAGCAAACCAUGUUUCUGAUAUUUCACAGCUGAAAUUUCUAGCGACAGUGUGUCCCAUUGACAAAUUCAGUUUUCUGUAUUUAGAAACAUAUAUGCGGAGAGGCUCAUCGUGUAUCCACCACCGAAUCAUUGUGUACGGUAUCAAUAGAUCCUGCUGGUUGAGCUGAUUCAGGGGUGUUUUCUUCAUCCAUGUCAGUAUCUAUCACCACACACGUGAGCAGCACGGACACACUUACACGCAAGGAUGUGUUUCUGCAUGCUUCCCAUUCCCAAACACAUGUUGCCCUCUACAUGACCGAUACACAUCGUGCUAAUUUGCAUUGCUCUUCCGAUUUUAUGUAGAGAUCCUGUAUCAUGACGAGACGAGGUAGGAGAUCAGCUUGGCUGAAUGAAUAAGUGUGGAAGAAAGCAAGCUGAUGACUCACUUUGCAAGGACAGUUCGUGCUUACUUACACCAGUCACGGAAAGUGGGUGGCUAUAUAUCCUUCCAUUUUGACCAAUUUAAGGUCACAUAUUUUAACACCAAUUUAAGAUCAACAUUUAUCUCUUUUUACUCCGUGCUCAGACCAGCGCGUUUUUUUUUCACUUGAUUUUUUUUACUUUUCAAAGCCUUCAAGAUGCUUUGUUGAUUUCCACAUUUACAAUUUUAAAUUAAAAUGCAUUCUAAAUAUAUAUAAAAUGUUCUAGCUAAAUUUAUGAAAAGUAUACCAAUAUCGGCAUAUCAAAAUAAACUAGUAGAAACCAAACCAGUUCAUUAAUGCAUUUUGAUGCCUGUGAGCCACAACAAUUCAACUAGUGCCUUAUUACAGACCAUUCAGCUAACACAUCUCAUCUGAAGUUAACUCCUCGGAAAACAAAAACAAAUAAACGCCGAAUUCGGCGAGUUGUAUUCCACCACAUGCUACCAUUCUGUUGAAUUUGUGCAUACAGAACAAUGAGCAGAUGGAGUAGCACAACGUGUUCUCUACCGUCUAUCUAGAAAUCGAACAGAGAUGAGUCGUUCAGCUGAUUGACCAGAGUUUUUUACAUCCAUGUCACUGCCUUCACGAGUAUCUCUAAGGAUGUGUUCCUGCAUGCUUCCCACUCCCAAAUGGCAAGAUGUCCAGUUGUCGGACACAAAUCGUACUAAUUUGCAUUGCACUCCGGUCUCCAGAGUGUAUAACCAUGGCAAGAUAAAGUAGCAGAUCAGCUUGGCUACUAGGAUUUGGGGGAAAUAUCUAGCGUAUGUGGUCAGGUGGCUUUAACGGGCUGAGGUGGGCAGCAAGGGCCACGCAUCCGUGCCUUGCAAGAGGCAAGGCACUGGAUCUCUGUCCCAGGUGGCUGCCCUGCCCACAUCUUCCGGAUGCGUCUCACCCACAUGUUCUUUUCUGUUGUGGUCAUCAGACGUGAACCGACGAGUAUAGCAUUCUUUGGAAGGAACGUUCGUUUGGCAGUGCAUCAGUGAUGAUCGAUGUCCUUCCCCUGCCUCCAGUUCUUUUCGUCUUCCCCUUUCCGUAGCUUAGAACCGUGUUAAAUUGGUUGAGUGUAGCGUCAGAAUAUAUGGUCCUUCAAGGUUCCACGGUUUUAUUAUGCCGGACGAAGCAAAUUCAGUUUGUUGGUUCCAUGGAGCCAAAUCAAGGCAGGAGCAGAUCGUUUUCAGUAACUCCAGAGAUCUCCACCGUCGCCGAAGUCUCCGCUUUCCCAGCAGGACGCUUCGUUGGUGUCCUGCGGCGGCUCCAUGAGCAGCCCCUCGGCGAGGUCCGCGUAGUGCAUCCCCAGGUCCAUUUCGCUCGGCAUGUCGAGCUCCAACUCCAACUCCAACAUGCCGCUCCCCAUCGCCAUGGGUGGUACUGGCAGUGGCACCUCAAACAGAACUCCAAGGAACGAUGGCCAUGCGCCGGCGGCACCAUUAUCCACAGGAACAACGGCCACAGGAACCACGGCCACAGGGAUGACGACGGACACGAUGGAGGGGGCGGCCUCCCGGCUUAGGAAGCCGGCGACGGCGACGACGGCGGCGCAGCCGAGCGCGGGCGGCGUGGCGGCGGCCGAGUCCGGGAAAUUGAGGAGGCAUGCCGCGGCGGACGGCAGGAGCGCGAGCAUGGCGGCGUCGUGGGCGCGGCCCGCGGACUCGGCGGUGAG
rnacentral:lncRNA from 1 species